AGAGUUUGAUCCUGGCUCAGAUUGAACGCUGGCGGCAUGCCUUACACAUGCAAGUCGAACGGCAGCACGGGAGCAAUCCUGGUGGCGAGUGGCGAACGGGUGAGUAAUAUAUCGGAACGUACCUUGGAGUGGGGGAUAACGUAGCGAAAGUUACGCUAAUACCGCAUAUUCUGUGCGCAGGAAAGCAGGGGAUCUUAGGACCUUGUGCUCUUUGAGCGGCCGAUAUCAGAUUAGCUAGUUGGUGAGGUAAAGGCUCACCAAGGCGACGAUCUGUAGCGGGUCUGAGAGGAUGAUCCGCCACACUGGAACUGAGACACGGUCCAGACUCCUACGGGAGGCAGCAGUGGGGAAUUUUGGACAAUGGGGGCAACCCUGAUCCAGCCAUGCCGCGUGAGUGAAGAAGGCCUUCGGGUUGUAAAGCUCUUUCGGCCGGGAAGAAAUCGCAUCGGUUAAUACCCGGUGUGGAUGACGGUACCGGAAUAAGAAGCACCGGCUAACUACGUGCCAGCAGCCGCGGUAAUACGUAGGGUGCGAGCGUUAAUCGGAAUUACUGGGCGUAAAGCGUGCGCAGGCGGUUUGUUAAGAUAGGCGUGAAAUCCCCGGGCUCAACCUGGGAACUGCGCUUAUGACUGGCAGGCUAGAGUACGGCAGAGGGGGGUGGAAUUCCACGUGUAGCAGUGAAAUGCGUAGAGAUGUGGAGGAACACCAAUGGCGAAGGCAGCCCCCUGGGUCGAUACUGACGCUCAUGCACGAA
rnacentral:rRNA from 1 species